rnacentral:rRNA from 1 species
GCCUACGGGUGGCAGCAGUGGGGAAUAUUGGACAAUGGGGGGAACCCUGAUCCAGCCAUGCCGCGUGUGUGAAGAAGGCCCUCGGGUUGUAAAGCACUUUCAGUGAGGAAGAACGCCUGGUGGUUAAUACCCAUCAGGAAAGACAUCACUCACAGAAGAAGCACCGGCUAACUCCGUGCCAGCAGCCGCGGUAAUACGGAGGGUGCGAGCGUUAAUCGGAAUUACUGGGCGUAAAGCGCGCGUAGGUGGCUUGAUAAGCCGGUUGUGAAAGCCCCGGGCUCAACCUGGGAACGGCAUCCGGAACUGUCAAGCUAGAGUGCAGGAGAGGAAGGUAGAAUUCCCGGUGUAGCGGUGAAAUGCGUAGAGAUCGGGAGGAAUACCAGUGGCGAAGGCGGCCUUCUGGACUGACACUGACACUGAGGUGCGAAAGCGUGGGUAGCAAACAGGAUUAGAUACCCUGGUAGUC